rnacentral:rRNA from 1 species
UAGGGAAUCUUCCGCAAUGGACGAAAGUCUGACGGAGCAAACGCCGCGUGAGUGAUGAAGGCCUUCGGGUCGUAAAACUCUGUUGUUAGGGAAGAACAAGUAUCGUUCGAAUAGGGCGGUACCUUGACGGUACCUAACCAGAAAGCCACGGCUAACUACGUGCCAGCAGCCGCGGUAAUACGUAGGUGGCAAGCGUUGUCCGGAAUUAUUGGGCGUAAAGCGCGCGCAGGUGGUCCUUUAAGUCUGAUGUGAAAGCCCACGGCUCAACCGUGGAGGGUCAUUGGAAACUGGGGGACUUGAGUACAGAAGAGGAAAGUGGAAUUCCACGUGUAGCGGUGAAAUGCGUAGAGAUGUGGAGGAACACCAGUGGCGAAGGCGACUUUCUGGUCUGUAACUGACACUGAGGCGCGAAAGCGUGGGGAGCGAACAGGAUUAGAUACCCUGGUAGUCCACGCCGUAAACGAUGAGUGCUAAGUGUUAGAGGGUUUCCGCCCUUUAGUGUCUGCAGCUAACG